rnacentral:piRNA from 1 species
UUCCAAAGCUAGACCAGAGGU